rnacentral:rRNA from 1 species
GACGAACGCUGGCGGCGUGCUUAACACAUGCAAGUCGAACGGUAAGGCCCUUCGGGGUACACGAGUGGCGAACGGGUGAGUAACACGUGGGUGAUCUGCCCUGCACUUCGGGAUAAGCCUGGCAAACUGGGUCUAAUACCGGAUAGGACCACUGCCUGCAUUGGUGGUGGUGGCAAGCUUUUGCGGUGUGGGACGGGCCCGCGGCCUAUCAGGUUGGUGGUGGGGUGAGGGCCUGCCAAGGCGACGACGGGUAGCCGGCCUGAGAGGGUGACCGGCCACACUGGGACUGAGAUACGGCCCAGACUCCUACGGGAGGCAGCAGUGGGGAAUAUUGCACAAUGGGCGCAAGCCUGAUGCAGCGACGCCGCGUGAGGGAUGACGGCCUUCGGGUUGUAAACCUCUUUCAGCACCGACGAAGCGCAAGUGACGGUAGGUGCAGAAGAAGGACCGGCCAACUACGUGCCAGCAGCCGCCGUAA